ACUUAACUAGCUCAGUUGGAAAAGCAUGUGACUCUUGAUCUCAGGGUUGUGAGUUUGAGCCCCAUGUUGGGUG
rnacentral:tRNA from 1 species